rnacentral:rRNA from 1 species
UGGCGGUCAUUUAUUUACAAAGGAACUUGUUUUAUAAUCGACAACACUCGUUAAAAUAAACUUAAUAAAAAAUUUUACAUACCGCCGUUUAAAAUUAAAACCAAAAUAAAAGAAAAUAUUAUUUAAAACAGGUCAUGGUAUAAACAAUUAUUAAGAAUAAAUUAGUUACUAAUUAAAAAAAUUAAUAGUAUAAAUUUUAAAAUAAAAAAAUUAGAAUUUGUAAACAAGAAUUUAAAUAAUAAAAAAAAUCUGAAAUUAAAUAAAAUGAUAC